UAGGGAAUCUUGCGCAAUGGGCGAAAGCCUGACGCAGCCAUGCCGCGUGAAUGAUGAAGGUCUUAGGAUUGUAAAAUUCUUUCACCGGGGACGAUAAUGACGGUACCCGGAGAAGAAGCCCCGGCUAACUUCGUGCCAGCAGCCGCGGUAAUACGAAGGGGGCUAGCGUUGCUCGGAAUUACUGGGCGUAAAGGGAGCGUAGGCGGAUAGUUUAGUCAGAGGUGAAAGCCCAGGGUUCAACCUUGGAAUUGCCUUUGAUACUGGCUAUCUUGAGUAUGGGAGAGGUAUGUGGAACUCCGAGUGUAGAGGUGAAAUUCGUAGAUAUUCGGAAGAACACCAGUGGCGAAGGCGACAUACUGGCCCAUUACUGACGCUGAGGCUCGAAAGCGUGGGGAGCAAACAGGAUUAGAUACCCUGGUAGUCCACGCCGUAAACGAUGAGUGCUAGUUGUCGGCAUGCAUGCAUGUCGGUGACGCAGCUAACGCAUUAAAGCACUCCGGCCUGGGGAGUACGGUCGCAAAGAUUAAACUCAAAUGAAUUGACGGGGUC
rnacentral:rRNA from 1 species